GCAGAAACCCCCCACGUGAUCAUCCUAGGCGCUCCUCCCUUUUCUAGUUUUCUUCCCACCCGUGGCUCCUCCGUCCUCUCCGCCCCGUACGCUCUUGACUGACUGAACCGAUCCGGCGACCCCUGCCUCCCUCGGAGAGCAUCCCCCCACCGGAUCAGCUCCUCCUCCGGUGGACCGCGCUGCCGUGGGCGCUGAGCGAAGGCCUCCGGUGGAUCCGUCCCGCGGAGCACCGAUCGCGCUCUGAUUUUCGGCCGUUUUGUUGGGGGCCUGACAGCCAAGCGGAGGUGAGGGGAGGGGGGCGAGGCGAGCAAGGAAGUAGCCUGAAGGUGGGGUGAGAAAGGGAAGCAGAGGAACCAAGAUUCAAUAUAAUUUUGUGGUACACAGAAGAGUAACACAUCAAAGACAGCGCAAAUACAUAACCAUCAGCAUGCCUUUUUUCCUUACUGUUUUUUCAUGGUUUCUCUGGUCAUCUAUGUGCACAGUUUGACCCAGUGAAGCUGAAGAAACUUGGGGCCAGCGUUUAAGAAGAAUUGGCCUGUAACAGCUGGCAGUUCUUCUACUAUAAGGUCUCAAGAUUCACAAAUAGCCUCAUUCUAGUGGAUACGAUCAAGAAAGCGACAGUUUGGUCACACUUGGAUCCGAGAGUUCAUGGCCGGUGCUCCAAGUUAAAGAGCCAGUCAUGUUAUAAUAGCUACAUAAAUGUUCAAGUAUCUCGAUUCUUAAAAAGGGUAAGGUGUGAAGUGACGCCCUGUAUCCAAAAACAUGUGGACGGCCACAAGGAGUGGAACAGAUAGACAAGAGAAGCUUGGACAAGAUCGCCAAUGAUGCCCUCCGAUCCUUACAGUUUUUUUUACAAAUCAAUGACGCAACAUGCCGAUCCUAUCGACCAUAAACAGACAAAAUGUAAAACUGGGGUAAAACCGUGUUAAAAGUCUCCAAAAUCUGACAUUUCGAUAAAAGUUCCGCUAAAUAGGGUAAUAUGUGUCACAAAUGUACAACUACAAGGCCGCAAGAUGACUGUAAUAGAUUUCAUAGAUCUGAGUGAUCAUGAUAUUAUUGACUUGAGCAGCAGCGAUGAUGAGACUGUUCAGGAGGAUCAUAUUGCAACUCAGCACCGGGCGGCGUCGCUUGAUAGGCAGACUAUGCAUGUCGUAGCUGGUGAAGGAAUCCAAGAUGUGCAGGCUGCGCUUGUUGCAGCUAGUGAAGGAAGGCAAGAUGUGCAGGCUGUGUUUGCUGCAGCUAGUGAAGGAAGACAAGAGGCUGCUGAUUGCGGACAUGCUUUGGAAGCCACCACAUCGUCCUUGGUUACGGAAAAAGAACCUCUUGUUGCAGCUAGUGAAGGAAGCCAAGAUGUGCAAGCUGUGCUUGUUGCAGCUCGUGAAGGAAGCCAAGAUGUGCAGGCUGCGUUUGUUGCAGCUAGUGAAGGAAGCCAAGAUGUGAAGGUUGUGCUUGUUGUAGCUACUGGAGGAAGUCAAGAAGUUUCUGACUCUGGAAAUGGUUUGGAAGCUACAGCAUUGUCUUUGGUUACUGAAAAAGCACCUCUUGAUAUGGCUGAAUCGCACAACUGUCCUCGCUCUCCCACAUCAGCGCCGUUCCCCAGCCCGACUUCUACCGUUCUGAAGGCUCCGACCUUUGAAGGUGGCGAUGCAAAGCUGGUAAGAGGAAAAGUGAAGCGUCCCAGGAAGAACUACCACACCGGUACUCCUAGGACAAGUCCUAGGUUUGAACUGAAGCCUGAAUGUCGGAACGGGCCUCUAGAAGAGCUGCCAGCCGAGGCACUGACCUCUGAAGGUGGCGACACGGAGCUGGUGAGAGAGAAGAUGCAACAUCCUGGGAAGGAUUACCAUUCCGGCACUCCUGGGACAAGUCCUAGGUUUGAACCGAAGCGUGAAUGUCAUAACGGGCCUGUGAAAGAGCUGCCAGCCGAGGCUCUGACAUCUGAAGGUGGCAACGCAAAGCUGUUGAGAGGGAAGGUCAAGCAUCCUCGGAUGAACUACCAUACCAGCACUCCUAGGAUAAGUCCUAGGUUUGUACCGAAGCUUGAAUGCCAUAACAGGCCUGUGGAAGAGCUGCCAGCCAAGGCUCUGACCUCUGAAGGAGGCAAUGAAGAGCUGGUGAGAGGGAAGCUGAAACAUCCUAGGAAGAACUACCCUGCUGGCACUCCUAGGACAAGUCCUAGGUUUGAACCAAAGCGUGAAUGUCAUAACGGGUCUGUGGAAGAAAUGCCAGCCAAGGUUCUGACCUCUAAAGGUGGUGAUGCUGAGCUGGUGAGAGGGGAAGUGAAACUUUCUAGGAAGAACUACCAUACCGGCACUCCUCGGACAAGUCCUAGGUUUGAAACAAAGCGUGGAUGUCGUAACGGGUCCGUGGAAGAGCUGCCAGCUGAGGUUCUGACCUCUGAUGGUGCUGAUGCAGAGCUGGUUAGGGAGAAGGUGAAACAUGCUAGGAAGGAUUACCAUACUGGCACUCCUAGGACAAGUCCUAGGUUUCAACUGAAGCGUGAACGUCACAAGGGGCCCGUGGAAGAACUGGCAGCCGAUCACAAGAGGUUCCGCACACUAGAAGAAUUAAUUGCCUCUCCUGACAAUGCAGAAUCUGCGAAGACCCCGUCUACUGACUCUCUGAACUAAGUGUGGUCGGAGCUCACGUUGCCCCAUGUAUUUCUGAGUUAUAUUACCAUUGCACCAAAUCCGUCUAGAUUAUAACUUGUGGCUGACUGUUGACUGCAAUACUCUCGAUGUUCACGUGCAUUUCUGUGAGAUAAUGCCUGACAAGCUGCUGAUUCCAGUUGAAUAUCUCAGAGACUUUGAACCUGUUUUGUUUCUCAUGCACAUUUUGAUGUACUUGGAGAAGAGAUGAAUUUAGGACUGAAGGCUGAACAACAUCAGUAGUACUUGAAGAAUGCUGUUCCUUGGGAGUUGAGAAACAACAUCAGGCUGCAAGCUGAGAUGUAAGUGCGCAUUAAUCAUGUAACCAACCAGCAAUAGGUUGAAAGUUGUGAGCAACUGCAGCGUGAAAUUUGUGGAAAAACUCUGUUUUUUAUGUGGUGGUUGGAACUAUAUUUAGUUGUGUUCACAAGGGAAUUUUACAACUGUGAAGGUUGAACAACUCCGUCAGUUAGUGCUACUUGUUUGAACUAUUUUUUUGGCGAGGGUACUUACUUGAAGUUCUGACCCUCUU